GUCAAGUAAUUAAGUGCAUGUGGUGGAUGCCUUGGCAGUCAGAGGCGAUGAAAGACGUGAUAGCCUGCGAAAAGCUCCGGGGAGGCGGCAAAUAUCCUUUGAUCCGGAGAUGUCUGAAUGGGGGAACCCACCUACUUUAAGGUAGGUAUUGCAACAUGAAUACAUAGUGUUGCAAGGCGAACGAGGGGAAGUGAAACAUCUCAGUACCCUUAGGAAAAGAAAUCAAUUGAGAUUCCCUCAGUAGCGGCGAGCGAACGGGGAUCAGCCCAUUAAGUUAUGUGUGUUUUAGUGGAACGCUCUGGGAAGUGCGAACGUAGAGGGUGAUAUUCCCGUACACGAAAGGGCACACAUAAUGAUGACGAGUAGGGCGAGGCACGUGAAACCUUGUCUGAAUAUGGGGGGACCAUCCUCCAAGGCUAAAUACUCCUGACUGACCGAUAGUGAACCAGUACCGUGAGGGAAAGGCGAAAAGAACCCCUGUGAGGGGAGUGAAAUAGAUCCUGAAACCGCAUGCAUACAAGCAGUGGGAGCACCUUCGUGGUGUGACUGCGUACCUUUUGUAUAAUGGGUCAGCGACUUAUAUUCAGUAGCGAGGUUAACCGUAUAGGGGAGCCGUAGAGAAAUCGAGUCUUAAUAGGGCGUUUAGUUGCUGGGUAUAGACCCGAAACCAGGCGAUCUAUCCAUGAGCAGGUUGAAGGUUGGGUAACACUAACUGGAGGACCGAACCCACUGUCGUUGAAAAGCCAGGGGAUGACUUGUGGAUAGGGGUGAAAGGCUAAUCAAGCCUGGUGAUAGCUGGUUCUCCCCGAAAGCUAUUUAGGUAGCGCCUCGGACGAAUACCAUAGGGGGUAGAGCACUGUUUCGGCUAGGGGGUCAUCCCGACUUACCAAACCGAUGCAAACUCCGAAUACCUAUGAGUACUAUCCGGGAGACAGACUGCGGGUGCUAACGUCCGUAGUCAAGAGGAAAACAAUCCAGACCGCCAGCUAAGGCCCCAAAAUCAUAGUUAAGUGGGAAACGAUGUGGGAAGGCAUAGACAGCUAGGAGGUUGGCUUAGAAGCAGCCACCCUUUAAAGAAAGCGUAAUAGCUCACUAGUCGAGUCGGCCUGCGCGGAAGAUGUAACGGGGCUAAAACUAUGUGCCGAAGCUGCGGAUGUAUACUUUGUAUACGUGGUAGGGGAGCGUUCUGUAAGCCGAUGAAGGUGUGUUGAGAAGCAUGCUGGAGGUAUCAGAAGUGCGAAUGCUGACGUGAGUAACGACAAAACGGGUGAAAAACCCGUUCGCCGAAAGACCAAGGGUUCCAGUCCAACGUUAAUCGGGGCUGGGUGAGUCGACCCCUAAGGCGAGGCCGAAAGGCGUAGUCGAUGGGAAAAUGGUUAAUAUUCCAUUACUUCUGUGUAAUGCGAUGAGAGGACGGAGAAGGCUAAAUCAGCCUGGCGUUGGUUGUCCAGGUGAAAGGAUGUAGGCAUGUAUCUUAGGCAAAUCCGGGGUACUCUAUGCUGAGAUCUGAUAGCAAGCUGUACUUGUACAGCGAA
rnacentral:rRNA from 1 species